rnacentral:rRNA from 1 species
CCUACGGGAGGCAGCAGUGAGGAAUAUUGGUCAAUGGCCGGAAGGCUGAACCAGCCAUGCCGCGUGAAGGGCAGGGCCCUAUGGGCGUUAAACUUCUUUUGUGCGGGAGCAAGAAUGGUCACGUGUGGCCAGACGAGAGUACCGUACGAAGAAGCAGCGGCUAACUCCGGGCCAGCAGCCGCGGUAAGACGGGGGAUGCAAGCGUUCUCCGGAUUUAGUGGGGUUCAAGGGUGCGUAGGCUGUGCGGUCAGUCAGCGGGGAAUUGCCCCCGCUCAACGGGGUGAAGUGCCAUUGAUACUGCCUUGCUUGACUGCGGAUGCCGUGGGCGGAAUGUGUGGUGUAGCGGU